AGAGUUGUGGUCGAAGUACAGGUUCAGUUGCUGCUGUAAACGAUGUAGAUCAAUGCCUAUGACUUAUAUGGAUCAUUGUCUGCAGGAAAUCUUAAUUUUAAAUCUCGAUAGUUCAAAUAUGGCUACUGGUGACAACUUCUAUGAGGAACAUGUAAUGGAGAAGCUGAUUGAUUGCUUGGAUGACGCUAUAGAUGACUUCCUGUCAUUUAAUAACCCCAAGAAUUGUUGUGAAAACCUCGAGAUCCUGCUUACUCAAGAUCAUGUUAACGUUCUUCUAAAGCCUGACGGAGAAAAAUUACAUCAACUCUUCAGAUUACAUCCUCUUCACCAUGUCUCUUUGCAUGCCAUCAUGACACUUGCUU
rnacentral:misc_RNA from 1 species